ensembl:lncRNA
GGGGUCCUUUGGGGAAGUUUGGGGCCAUGGGGAUCCCAUGGGGUCUUAUAGGGUCCUGGGGUUCCUAUGGGGUCACAGGGGGUUCCUAUAGGCUGCUUUUAGGGUCCCAUGGGGUCACGGGGGUCCUUUGGGAUCAUGGUGGUCCUAUGGGAUCCUAUGGGGUCAUGGGGGUCCUAUGGGUUUUAGGGUUCCCUUGGGGUCCUGGGGGUCCCACGGGGUUUCUUUGGGGUCCCACGGGGUCACAGGGGUCUUAUAGGGUCCUGGGGUUCCUAUGGGGUCGAGGGGUUCCUAUAGGCUCCUUUUGGGGUUCUUUUGGGGUCACAGGGGUCCUUUGGGGUCAUGGGGAUCCCUUGGGGUGUUCUAUGGGGUCCCACGGGGUCACAGGGGUCUUAUAGGGUCCUGGGGUUCCUAUGGGGUCACAGGGUGUUCCUAUAGGCUCCCUUUGGGGUCCCAGGGGUUCACGGGGUCCUUUGGGAUCACGGGGGUCCUAUGGGAUCCUACGGGGUCAUGGGUAUCCUAUGGGGUCACAGGAGGUUCCCUUGGGGUCAUGGGGGUCCCUUUGGGGUCCCUUGGGGUCAUGGGGGUCCCUUUGGGGUCCCUUGGGGUCAUGGGGGUCCCUGGGAGUCCUACUGGGUCCUAUGGGAUCCUAUGGGGUCCUGGGGUUCCUAUGGGGUUUUGGGGUUCCCUUGGGGUCGUGGGGGUCCCUGGGGGAAGUUUGGGGUCAUGGGGGUCCCAUGGGGUCUUAUAGGGUCCUGGGGUUCCUAUGGGGUUUUAGGGUUCCCUUGGGGCCAUGGGGGUCCCACAGGGUUUCUUCGGGGUCCCACAGGUUCACAGGGGUCUUUUGGGGUCCUGGUGUUUUUAUGGGGUCACAGGGGUUCUUAUAGGCUUCUUUUGGGGUUCUUUUGGGGUCAUGGGGGUCCUUUGGGAUCAUGGGAGUCCUAUGGGAUCCUAUGGGAUCUUGGUGGUCCUAUGGGAUCCUAUGGGGUCCUGGGGGUCCCACGGGGUUUCUUUGGUGUCCCACAGCUUCCCAGGGGUCUUUUAGGGUCCUGGUGUUUUUAUGGGGUCACGGGGGUUUCUUAUAGGUCCUUUUUAGGGUCGGUCCCCGCUCACCCUCUCUCCGACCUCGUAGCUGACGACGCUGAGCAGCGCCAGCAGCGCCCCGGUGGCCUUCGGGGACGGCAAAGUGGCCAAAAAGGCACUCCACGAGCCCCAUGGCCACCCAAGAACCCCGUGGCCACCCCAUAUACCCCUUGGCCACCCCAAAAGCCCGACGGCCACCCCAUGAACCUCACGGCCACCCCAUGAACCCCACAGCCUCCCCAAAGGCCCCAUGGCCACCCCAUGACCCCAUGGCCACCCCAUGAACCCCACGGCCACUCCAAGAGCCCCAUGGCCACCCGAGGAGCCCCACGGCCACCCCAAGAUCCCCAUGGCCACUCUAGAAGACCCACGGCCACCCCAAGAGCCCCGUGGCCACCAACGAUCCCCACCUGGCCACUGUUGACGGCUGCGUGCUGCGCGGAGCAGCGGAAGAUGAUCAUGGUGAGGAAUUUGGUGAGGUCGGGGCGGGUGCAGAGCUUGGAGGGGAAACCUGGGGGUGGGGACACAGGAAGUGUCACCGCCGGUAGCCACGAUGGGCUACUGGGUGACCGUGGUCGUGGUCACGGCCGGAAGAGGGAGCGAAACCAUCGGUGUGGUGGUGAUUGGAACCACAGCCGUCAUUGUGACCGGCGCCGCCAUUUUCACCUGAAUCACCAGGAUCGUAACCAGCACCAAACCAUCAGCAUCGUCAUCGUCGUCGUUAUCCUGAGCUUAAUUGUCACCAUCAUCAUCAUCAUCAUCAUCAUCACCGUCAUAAUCCUGCCCUUAACCAUCACCACCAUCAUCAUCAUCGUUAUCCUGAUCUUAAUCACAAUCAUCAUCAUCAUCAUCAUCAUCAUCACCAUCAUCAUCAUCACCGUCAUAAUCCUGCCCUUAAUCAUCACCAUCAUCAUCAUCAUCAUCAUCAUCGUCAUCAUCAUCACCAUCAUCAUCAUCAUCACCUUGAACUUAACCACAGCCAAACCAUCACCAUCAUCAUCAUCGUUAUCCUGAUCUUAACCAUCACCAUCAUCAUCAUCACCAUCAUCGUUAUCCUGAGCUUAAUCAUGGCCAUCAUCAUCACCAUCAUCAUCAUCAUCAUCAUCAUCAUCAUCAUCACCACCUUGAACUUAACCAUGGCCAAACCAUCACCAUCAUCUUCAUCAUCGUUAUCCUGAGCUUAACCAUCACCAUCAUCAUCAUCACCAUCAUCGUUAUCCUGAGCUUAAUCAUGGCCAUCACCAUCAUCAUCAUCAUCAUCUUCG